rnacentral:lncRNA from 1 species
UUGAGAAGCUGCGAAGAUGGCGGAGUAAGGCGUGCCGCUGCAAACUGGCCUCUGGGCCGGGGGCGAGCAGCCCCCGGGAGGCCGAGUGCAUCUGUUGGACCGUGCGAGGAGAAGAAAAAAAAUAUCGGCCAGAGGAGAGGAACUAACCGAACAUUCUUCCUCCCUACCUUAUAGAGGGGAGUGGUCAUCUACACUAAAGCAAAGUGUUAGGCGCGUCCGUGCGAAGAGACCACCAAACAGGCUUUGUGUUCCUUAUCACAGGAAGAAAAUUUUCCUUGACCUUUAGGUGCUUUUAUAUUCAUCUCAAAAACAAAAUUCUGAACUCAGGACUUGGCAAGUGUCUCUAUGUUGUCUCCUAGAGUGGGUAGUCCUGCUUCUUUUACCCAGUUACUUUCCCGUUUUUGAAAUGUGGCUAUCACUUCUCUACACAUUACCUCCAUGAUUUGGAAUGGAAAAGGCCACUUUUCUUUUUGUUCUGCCUCUCAAAUUCAACACAGAGGAGCUCCUAGGAUUCCAGUUAUCCUGCUAACAUCUCCAGGAAGAAAGAAGCAACUCACAUGGGUCUUUUGCUGUUUGCUUAAUUAUAAAGACAUCAUUUUGCAAGCAGAAGGCUGAGUUUCAUUUGAAACAGGUGCUUAGGUGGUGGUAUUUGUGAAUACUUUUCAUUCCAAGCAAGAAGACUAAAGAAGUAGCAAGUAUGAAUGACUUCAGGGUUUAAAAAAAAUGUCUUCCAGUUUCAGCCACUACCAUGAUAAGCACAGUUGAGACUGCAGCAGUAAAUUCCAAAUAUGUGUUUCUAAUUUGACGUGAAAGAUACUAAAAAUUUAUAUUUGUAUAUUUAAAUCCUGGCUCAUCCUGUGACAUAGAUUUACUGAAUAGGAACAAAGGCCCAAUUUUAAACAAAAACCUAGGCCGGGUGUGGUGGCUCACACCUGUAAUCCCAACACUUUGGGAGGCCAAGGCAGGCAAAUCACCUGAGGUUGGGAGUUUGAGACCAGCCUGACCAACAUGGAGAAACCCCAUCUCUACUAAAAAUAGAAAAUUAGCCAGGUGUGGUGGUAGAUACGUGUAAUCCCAGCUACUCGUGAGGCUGAGGCAGGAGAAUUGCUUGAAUCCGGGAGGCGGAGGUUGCAGUGAACUGAGAUUGCACCACUGCACUCCAGCCUGGGCGACAGAGUGAGACUCCGUCUCAGAAAAAUAAAAAACAACUUUGGACAUAGAGGAGUUGGGGGCAGAGGGGGGAGGAUGAGAGAAUUUUCCAUGUAACUCCUUUUCCUUAAGAAAAAGAAGCAAAAAUCCCUCAUGCAGUGCCAUCUGACUUUAUGGUGUUUCACAUUAUAUAGUUACUUUUUUUAAUAAACGCAUAAGAUUAACUCUUCCUGCAACCCAAGGUGGAUACUUGGAUGUUUGAUUUUUAUUUAUUUAUUUAUUUAUUUUUUGAGGCAGUCUCUCUCUGUUGCCCAGGCUGGAGUGAUGCGUGAUUUCUGCUCACUGCAGUCUCUCCCACCCGGGUUCAAGCGAUUCUCCUGCCUCAGCCUCCCAAGUAGCUAGGAUUACAGGCGCGCACCACCACGCUCAGCCUGAUUUCUAGGCUGAAAAGGCUGGGACUCAGGUACUUUCCCCAGUUGGGACUGAACUUUCUCAUCAGAGAAUGGGCCUCAGAAGCAAUGUUCCCAAACUUGUGGUUGGGUCAUCGUGGAAAAGAAACCUCAAAUAAGAAAAAUAAUUACAAUAAGAAAUGGAUUUUCUUUUUUCCCACAACAGUUAUACAUUAUAAAGAACAGACUGUCGUAGAAAACUGUCUUUGCUUCCAAAUCAGCAGAGGACCAUUGUAUGUAUUGUCAGGUCUUUAUAUAAGAGUGAAACCUUUAUUUAUGCUUCUUGUGAGUAGAGA